rnacentral:rRNA from 1 species
UAAUACUCCAUAGAUUAGAGACACUGGAAUGUUCUUUAGUCGAAAGUUCUGGCGCCUUAGGAUGGAUCUGCGGUCGAUUAGGUUGUUGUUGGGGUAACGGCCCAACAAGCCUGUAAUCGAUACGGGUUGUGGGAGCAAGAGCCCGGAGAUGGAAUCUGAGACACGAUUCCAGGCCCUACGGGGCGCAGCAGGCGCGAAAACUGUACAAUGCAGGAAACUGUGAUAAGGGAACUCCGAGUGCCCGUAUACGCGGGCUGUCCAGGUGUUUAAAAAUCAUCUGAAGAAAGGGCCGGGCAAGACCGGUGCCAGCCGCCGCGGUAAUACCGGCGGCUCGAGUGGUGGCCACUAUUAUUGGGCUUAAAGCGUCCGUAGCUGGACCGAUAAGUCUCUUGGGAAAUCCGCCGGCUCAACCGGCGGGCGUCUAAGGGAUACUGUUAGUCUAGGGACCGGGAGAGGUGAGAGGUACUCCGGGGGUAGGAGUGAAAUCCUGUAAUCCCCGGGGGACCACCGAUGGCGAAGGCAUCUCACCAGAAUGGCUCCGACAGUGAGGGACGAAAGCUGGGGGAGCGAACCGGAUUAGAUACCCGGGUAGUCCCAGCCGUAAACUAUGCGCGUUAGGUGUAC